UUUUUUUGUGAAUCUCCUCUCUGUUUCUUAACUCUCUCCAGUCCCGCUGCAGAUAAUUUUCUCUCUCGCCCUUUCUCUCCAAUUACAGAGUCCAUUAAAGUAUUACUAUUUCUCUGCAAUUCUCUAAUUCUUAAAUUUAUUCCCUCUGAGUUUCUGCAAAUACAGUGGGCAUACUAUUGCUUAGAUGGCCUUGGUGCAUGCUUCAUUGUUUAAUUAGUCUUCGUAGGAUUCACAUUCAGAACAACUCAGUCCCUAUCUUAAAAUCGAGAAGAACAGAUAAUCGCGAAGAAGUUAAGUAUCUAUUCUUCUUAUUCAGUAAACUGAUAUUUCUCAAGUGCAACACUUGUCUGUGCAUGCGUUUAAGUGGGGAAGAUUGUACAUGAACAACAAGUGGAAAGCCAAGUUGCGAUGAGAAUUCAAUAUUUAUAAGGUUUCAAAAUCAUUACACAACAAUACAUAUAUAAUCUCUUCAUAAUAUGAUGUACGAGUUUAAUGCAUUUAUCGCUUUUGAGUUGUGAGUGUUUAGAAGAUUUAUUUAAUCUAUAUAUAAUAGCAAACCAUUUUUUUGUUAGCCGCUGAUGUCAUCAGUUUUUUAUAGGAAAAAAAAAAUUAAUCCAAUGGACAUAAAAUACUUUUGAUGAUGUCAUCAAGAAAAUUAUAUUGGCAACUCUUCCUUUAACAGUUAUUAUCUAUUUAAACAAUACAUCCAUUAACAAACAUACCUUUUCAUAACUUAAAAAAAUAUAAUAGCAACUUUUCCUCUAUUUAAACAACACAUCUCUUAACAACAUACCUUUUCAUAAUUUUAUUUUAUAUAUAUUAUUUAAAAAAUCAAAGAGUUACAAUCUGGCCGUCAUAAUUGUAUGUUUCUUUUAUCUAAUGGUCCUAAAACUAUUUUGGUUUAAAUAUCUUGUUUCUUGUUGUAACUCCCUCUAAAGAGUUUUCUUUUCAAACAACACAUACCUUCUUUUCUUGAGUAGCCUUUGAUGUACCUCUUCAUGAUCUAUAUAUUUUACUUUUUACAGCUGAAAUGUUUUACAGAAUCGUUUAGUAAAACUGAAAAUCGUAAAUUGAAUACAAAAACAAUUGAUAAGAGAAAACCCUAAACACCCCGAGAAAAAAAAGGGGACUACAUAAUACAUGUUUUAUUCUCCAUGUACCUCUGUCUCUUGGUUUUGCACUUUCUCUCUCUAUCGCUUCUUUGUAAAUAAGAAUUACGUUUGUGUCGGUAAUAAAACCAUACGUAACAUAUAAGCCACCGUGAUAAACGUAAUAGAAGGGUUUAGAUUCCUUUGUUCAUCAAAGGGAAUCAUAAAGGAUUGAAGGCCAAAGAGAGAAGAAGAUAAAGGAUUGAGUACACGUUUUUUCUAUCAAUCUUAAAGCUUUCAUCUCUCUCCUACACAACUCAACCUCAAGGUUCCUAAAUAUAUGUUUAUUUUUCAUUCUACUUUCUUUGUGUUUGGUUUGGAACUUAUCUGAUUUAAUGUCUUUGAAAGUGAUUGGGGACGAACUUUUUCUGUAUCGAAUUAUAACUUUUUCAAUUUGAUCUGUAAAACUCUGUGAUGGCACAUCGUUACAGUUAUCAAUUAGUGGCUUGAUUUAUAUAGAAAACCAUUUUUUUGUUAGCCGCUGACGUCAUCAGUUUUUUAUAGGAAAAAAAAAUUAAUCCAAUGGUCAGAAUUUGUUUUUUUCUUUGAUCUAACGGACAUAAAAUACUUUUGAUGAUGUCAACAAGAAAAUUAUAUUGGCAACUCUUCCUUUAACAGUUAUUAUCAAUUUAAACAACACAUGCAUUAACAAACAUACCUUUUCAUAACUUAAAAAAAUAUAAUAGCAACUCUUCCUUAAGCAGUUAUCUAUUUAAACAACACAUCUCUUAACAACAUACCUUUUCAUAAUUUUAUUUUAUAUAUAUUAUUUAAAAAAUCAAAGAGUUACAAUCUGGCCGUCAUAAUUGUAUGUUUCUUUUAUCAAAUGGUCCUAAAACUAUUUUGGUUUAAAUAUCUUGUUUCUUGUUGUAACUCCUUCUAAAGAGUUUUCUUUUCAAACAACACAUACCUUCUUGAGUAGCCUUUGAUGUACCUCUUCAUAAUCUAUAUAUUUUACUUUUUACGGCUGAAAUGUUUUACAAAAUCGUUUAGUAAAACUGAAAAUCGUAAUACAAAAACAAUUGAUAAGAGAAAACCCUAAAUACCACGAGAAAAAAAAGGGGACUACAUAAUACAUGUUUUAUUCUCUCUGUACCUCUGUCUCUUGGUUUUGCGCUUUCUCUCUCUAUCGCUUCUUUAUAAAUAAGAAUUACGUUUGUGUCGGUAAUAAAACCAUACGUAACAUAUAAGCCACCGUGAUAAACGUAAUAGAAGGGUUUAGAUUCCUUUGUUCAUCAAAGGGAAUCAUAAAGGAUUGAAGGCCAAAGAAAGAAGAAGAUAAAGGAUUGAGUACACGUUUUUUAUAUCACUCUUAAAGCUUUCAUCUCUCUCCUACACAACUCAACCUCAAGAUAUGUCUAGAGUAUUUGAAGAACAUAGCUGAGUCACGGAAUAGCCAAGUUACGGGAAGAACAAGAUCAAGUGAACAAACGUUGGAAAAUUCAUAAAAGUGUGUUUUUUUUGUUCAUUAUGUUAUGGAGAUGGGUUCAUUGUGGUCAUUACUCUUUUUUGAAUCAUUCAUUUUUUCCUUUCACUUUACGGUGUGAAGCUUACUGAGUGAACAUUUUUUGUAGCAAUCAUUUUUUUUUUCGUCUUGUGUAAUGGAAUUGGGUUAAUGAAUCCAUAAAAAUAUAUGAAAAUACAUUAAUAAGUGUGUUUUGAAGCUUUAUAAGAAGAUGAGUUGGCCAUAUAUAAACAUGGAAAAGGGAAGAGAAAAAUAAAAUGUAAAACUAAUACACAAUUAAUCUAUGAACAA